rnacentral:rRNA from 1 species
AAUUGAAGAGUUUGAUCAUGGCUCAGAUUGAACGCUGGCGGCAGGCCUAACACAUGCAAGUCGAGCGGUAGCACAGAGAGCUUGCUCUCGGGUGACGAGCGGCGGACGGGUGAGUAAUGUCUGGGAAACUGCCUGAUGGAGGGGGAUAACUACUGGAAACGGUAGCUAAUACCGCAUAACGUCGCAAGACCAAAGUGGGGGACCUUCGGGCCUCAUGCCAUCAGAUGUGCCCAGAUGGGAUUAGCUAGUAGGUGGGGUAACGGCUCACCUAGGCGACGAUCCCUAGCUGGUCUGAGAGGAUGACCAGCCACACUGGAACUGAGACACGGUCCAGACUCCUACGGGAGGCAGCAGUGGGGAAUAUUGCACAAUGGGCGCAAGCCUGAUGCAGCCAUGCCGCGUGUGUGAAGAAGGUCUUCGGGUUGUAAAGCACUUUCAGCGGGGAGGAAGGCGAUAAGGUUAAUAACCUUGUCGAUUGACGUUACCCGCAGAAGAAGCACCGGCUAACUCCGUGCCAGCAGCCGCGGUAAUACGGAGGGUGCAAGCGUUAAUCGGAAUUACUGGGCGUAAAGCGCACGCAGGCGGUCUGUCAAGUCGGAUGUGAAAUCCCCGGGCUCAACCUGGGAACUGCAUUCGAAACUGGCAGGCUAGAGUCUUGUAGAGGGGGGUAGAAUUCCAGGUGUAGCGGUGAAAUGCGUAGAGAUCUGGAGGAAUACCGGUGGCGAAGGCGGCCCCCUGGACAAAGACUGACGCUCAGGUGCGAAAGCGUGGGGAGCAAACAGGAUUAGAUACCCUGGUAGUCCACGCCGUAAACGAUGUCGAUUUGGAGGUUGUGCCCUUGAGGCGUGGCUUCCGGAGCUAACGCGUUAAAUCGACCGCCUGGGGAGUACGGCCGCAAGGUUAAAACUCAAAUGAAUUGACGGGGGCCCGCACAAGCGGUGGAGCAUGUGGUUUAAUUCGAUGCAACGCGAAGAACCUUACCUGGUCUUGACAUCCACAGAACUUUCCAGAGAUGGAUUGGUGCCUUCGGGAACUGUGAGACAGGUGCUGCAUGGCUGUCGUCAGCUCGUGUUGUGAAAUGUUGGGUUAAGUCCCGCAACGAGCGCAACCCUUAUCCUUUGUUGCCAGCGGUCCGGCCGGGAACUCAAAGGAGACUGCCAGUGAUAAACUGGAGGAAGGUGGGGAUGACGUCAAGUCAUCAUGGCCCUUACGACCAGGGCUACACACGUGCUACAAUGGCAUAUACAAAGAGAAGCGACCUCGCGAGAGCAAGCGGACCUCAUAAAGUAUGUCGUAGUCCGGAUUGGAGUCUGCAACUCGACUCCAUGAAGUCGGAAUCGCUAGUAAUCGUAGAUCAGAAUGCUACGGUGAAUACGUUCCCGGGCCUUGUACACACCGCCCGUCACACCAUGGGAGUGGGUUGCAAAAGAAGUAGGUAGCUUAACCUUCGGGAGGGCGCUUACCACUUUGUGAUUCAUGACUGGGGUGAAGUCGUAACAAGGUAACCGUAGGGGAACCUGCGGUUGGAUCACCUCCUUA